rnacentral:rRNA from 1 species
CAGCAGCCGCGGUAAUUCGUAGGGUGCGAGCGUUCAUCGGAUUUACUGGGCGUAAAGCGUGCGCAGGCGGCCCGUUAAGACAGGUGUGAAAUCCCUGGGCUCAACCUAGGAAUUGCGCUUGUGACUGGCGGGCUCGAGUACGGUAGAGGGGGGUGGAAUUCCUGGUGUAGCAGUGAAAUGCGUAGAGAUCAGGAGGAACACCGAUGGCGAAGGCAGCCCCCUGGGCCUGUACUGACGCUCAUGCACGAAAGCGUGGGGAGCAAACAGGAUUAGAUACCCUGGUAGUCCACGCCCAAAACGAUGGGUACUAGCCGUUUGGUGCGCGAUAGCGCUGAGUGGCGAAGCUAACGCGUGAAGUACCCCGCCUGGGGAGUACGGCCGCAAGGUUGAAACUUAAAGGAAUUGGCGGG